AGGAGGCAAACAAAAGGUGAAAGGCAGAGUGGGCCAUCUGACAAGAGAGCAGGAAGAGCGGCUGAUGUGGAAAGCGGAGCGGGCUCGGAGGCCUCGACCCUGGUCCCGGCGCACCCUCUCGAAGGCCUUUUCAGCAGCGGUAAUUACACCGCGAUGCCAUAAAAAUUGGGGGCGGGAGGAUGUCUGCGGGGCGAUCUACGGGCUGAUUUUGCAUGACAUCUUCAAGUCAGCUAUUAGGCUCGAGAGUUACCUGAAGAAGUUGAUGUCCGGGUAGUUGCUGUACUCGCUGCGUCGAGAGUUGCGCCGCGGGAAGGUGCAAAAGAAGGCGUUGGCGAGCAAGCAGGCCACCUGCUCCUGCGACAUGCUGAUGGAGUGGUUGGUGCCCCUCUUGAGGAGCGGUAUGGGCUGGAAAAGAAGGAGCAGAGCCGGACGACCGCAGAGGAAGAUUGACCGCAACACAUUUUUCAUCAUCACGUCCAUGUGGAGAGGGAAAAAACAACAACAACAACAACAACAACAACAAAAUCGAUGUAUUUUUUUUGCAUCAAAAUGUGAUGUAUUCUUGAUGCUGUGGCGGUCGGCGUGUGAGUUAAUGGCCUCUCUCCUUGAGAAAAAUAACACUUCUUCAGAUUUCUCAUGUUUACAAGCCCAGGAGAGAUUUCUCCCAUCACCUAGUGUCACAGCACACAGCCUUUCUGUCUGAACAAAUGGAAUACUCUCAACGCCUCCUGAGCCAGACAGUGGGUGCAGCCCUUCCUGGUUCUCUACACGCAGUGACGCACGUAGAAAGGGAGGUGCAGGGGGUGGAAGGGGUGCAGCAAAACCCUCACAUGAUGAAUGGCCUUUAAAGGGGACUCGGAAAAACACUGACACACGUAUUGUGUUGGUCAACGUGCUGUGAGCGGGAGUUCGUGUUCCCCCCCCCCCCUUGUAACUGUAAAAAAUCAUUUCACACGGAAUGACAUGGCAGUGGGUCAAAUGCAACAGCCUUUAGAAAGAUGAUUACGCUCAGCUUUGGCCACUUUUACUUAAAACUCCUGCUUACUUCAAACUUAACAUAUUUUUUAAAUAAUUGAAUGAUUGAUUAGUUCCCUGCAAUUGGCUGGCGACCAGUUUAGGGUGUACCUCGCCUGUCGCCCGAAGACAGCUGGGAUAGGCUCCGGCACGCCCGCGUGAGGAAAAGCGGUACAGAAAAUGGAUGGAUGGAUAAUUGAUUAGAGUAUUUUCCUUCUGCUUAUGUUUAAUAACUUAAUAAAAAGACGCUUACCGUUAAUCUGUGAAUAAUGCUACAGUGGUGACUUAAUUUCCCUCAUUUGAUUAAUAUAGUAUUUACGUAUUGAUCUUUAUUGACUAUACUGUACAUAUAGUAUAAAGUUUACCUUAGUGCAGUACAAAUGUAAUGCAGUGAAGUCCCACUU